UUUUCUUUUCAUUUUUUUAUUGAAUUUGUGUCAUAUUUUUCUUGUGAGCGCCUUUUAUAGCUGACUAUUCGGGCUUUUUUUUAAUGUGUGGCCGCACGGUUGCCUAUAAUUGCUUACAUUCGCUCUAUUUGAACUUGGAAUUGUCUAAUUGGCAAUCAUACCACAUCACCGUAUUCGUCUUUUUUGAAUUAUGAUUUGUUCAGGGUCAAUAUAAUUGCUUAACAAUCUUGUAUUUGUGAAUAAUCUUUGAAACUGUACACCAUUUCAUUUUCG
rnacentral:lncRNA from 1 species